UACGUAGGGUGCGAGCGUUGUCCGGAAUUAUUGGGCGUAAAGGGCUCGUAGGCGGUUUGUCGCGUCGGGAGUGAAAACUCAGGGCUUAACCCUGAGCCUGCUUCCGAUACGGGCAGACUAGAGGUAUGCAGGGGAGAACGGAAUUCCUGGUGUAGCGGUGAAAUGCGCAGACAUCAGGAGGAACACCGGUGGCGAAGGCGGUUCUCUGGGCAUUACCUGACGCUGAGGAGCGAAAGUGUGGGGAGCGAACAGG
rnacentral:rRNA from 1 species